AACGCUAGCUACAGGCUUAACACAUGCAAGUCGAGGGGAAACGACAUCGAAAGCUUGUUUUUGAUGGGCGUCGACCGGCGCACGGGUGAGUAACGCGUAUCCAACCUGCCCAUCACUUGGGGAUAACCUUGCGAAAGUAAGACUAAUACCCAAUGAUAUCUCUAGAAGACAUCUGAAAGAGAUUAAAGAUUUAUCGGUGAUGGAUGGGGAUGCGUCUGAUUAGCUUGUUGGCGGGGUAACGGCCCACCAAGGCAACGAUCAGUAGGGGUUCUGAGAGGAAGGUCCCCCACAUUGGAACUGAGACACGGUCCAAACUCCUACGGGAGGCAGCAGUGAGGAAUAUUGGUCAAUGGACGAGAGUCUGAACCAGCCAAGUAGCGUGCAGGAUGACGGCCCUAUGGGUUGUAAACUGCUUUUAUAAGGGAAUAAAGUGAGUCUCGUGAGACUUUUUGCAUGUAUCUUAUGAAUAAGGACCGGCUAAUUCCGUGCCGGCAGCCGCGGUAAUACGGAAGGUCCAGGCGUUAUCCGGAUUUAUUGGGUUUAAAGGGAGCGUAGGCCGCAAGUCAAGCGUGUUGUGAAAUGCAGGGGCUCAACCUCUGGAUUGCAGCGCGAACUGGCAUGCUUGAGUACGCACGAGGUAGGCGGAAUUUGUGGUGUAGCGGUGAAAUGCUUAGAUAUCACGAAGAACUCCGAUUG
rnacentral:rRNA from 1 species